UAUUGCCCAUUUAUUGAAGUCACUAUUCAUCGUGUCGAUCUUCAACACAAUAACUCCUCCAAAUUGCAGCGGCUCGACCAUGGCAAGCCCUCCAGUAGGUAUACUCUUUGCUCUUACAAUUUUUCCCCAACAAGACCAGCACCCUCCUGCAAAUAAGCACAAGAAUUUUAGGCAAAAAAGCAUCACAACAUAAUAAAAAAACCCAACCGACAUUCACUAGUAUUGUUCGAGCUUUCACUUAUACGGAUCUACUUUGAAGGAUCGGGUACCACACCCCCUUCACUGGUACAUAGCACUGUACCACUUCAAACCUUCUGGUAUAAACAAUUUCAAAAAUCCACUAUAAUUGAAAAAAUACUCAACACUAACCGAUCUGAAACAACAUUACUUUAUACCACACCCUUCUAAACGGUAUAGAUCUAUGUACCACAAAUCAGUAGCAGGUACCAAUAUAUACCAAAAUCAAAACCGAAACCCUAAAUCCAAGUAAAAACACAAAAUAAUCUCCAAAUCGGAACCGCAACCAUCAAAAAUAUAUUGAAAUUUUCAGUACCUGAUCUCCCUCUGUUUGCAUGUCCUCUGAUGGGUUAAUAUCCUUCUUCUUUUAGGCGGUCUACUUCCCUUGACUCCAGCAAACAACAAAGGUAUCUUCCUCCAGUGGUAAGGAGUCGUCGGUUUGGUCCCUGCCACCGGAAUUCUCCGAUUCAGUCUCUUCACCACAUAAGAAGAUGGUACUAGGAGUCGUGAUGACCGUCAGACGGUAGUCAGAUCAGGUGGUGGUCUUUUCAUCAGAGAAAGGAGGGGGAGAGCCAAAUAAGCUAGGAGCGGCGGAAGAGAUUCGAUUGGAGUGGCGGUUUCAGCGAGAAAGGGAUAGCGGUGGAUUUAGGUGAGAGAAAAGGAAACUGAAAUUGUAGAGUAAAU
rnacentral:lncRNA from 1 species